UACGUAGGGUGCAAGCGUUGUCCGGAAUUAUUGGGCGUAAAGAGCUCGUAGGCGGUUUGUCGCGUCUGCUGUGAAAACCCGGGGCUUAACUCCGGGCCUGCAGUGGGUACGGGCAGACUAGAGUGCGGUAGGGGAGACUGGAAUUCCUGGUGUAGCGGUGGAAUGCGCAGAUAUCAGGAGGAACACCAAUAGCGAAGGCAGCUCGCUGGGACGGUAUUGACGCUGAGGCGCGAAAGCGUGGGGAGCGAACAGG
rnacentral:rRNA from 1 species